GGAGUAUUUUAAAUGGUCGCUAUACUUUUAUAGUGUAGAGGAAAGUCCGGGCUCCAUAGGGCAAGGGCGCUGGAUAACGUCCAGUUGGUGCAAACCAAAGGAAAGUGCCACAGAGAGAUACCGCUUCUUUUUGAAGUAAGGGUGAAAAGGUGGGGUAAGAGCCCACCAGGUAUCAGGCAACUGAUAUGCUUGGCAAACCCCGCCCGGAGCAAGACCGAAUAGAGAGGGAUGAGGCUGCCCGCUGACCUCUGGGUACGGUCGCUUGAGAAAAACCGCGAGGUUUUUACUAGAUAAAUGACCAUUUUUCAUACAGAACCCGGCUUAUAAAGUGCUCCUUAU
rnacentral:RNase_P_RNA from 1 species